GACGGUUAGUUUAAGCUCCCACUCCGUGGCCGCUCAACGUAGAGCCUUCUGCGCCUGUAUACAAAACAACGAAAUUGGCGUAGAAGACUUCGAAAUUUCUUCCAGUUUUAUGCGAUCCAAAGCGAUUGGUUAAAUGAAAGACAGAAAGAAUACUUCUUUCUGGAAGCGUGUACUGCUGAAUUGUGUUUUGCAGGUCCAUGCUCACCGAUCUUUAUCUAUUUUGGUCACAUAAAUGGGUGUAUUCCUUAGUUGAAGUGCUUUUUGCUUGAUACUAAGUUGGAUGAAUGUUGGCUAUGCGGUACUCUUUGAAUCAGGCUUUGGACAUUUAUGUGUGUUUCUUUGAUUGCUUAGGUGCGGUUCAUGUUCAUUUCUUGGAUAAUAAUAUUCUAUUUGCAAGGAGUAUGUUCACUUAGUGAAGCACAAAUGCAUACCCCCAAACCAAAAUAUGUUUUUUUUAACUGAAUAUCUGGACAAUUUAUUUUUAUCUGCUUGUUAGCUUUCUGCAGCUUACAAAAUCCAGGGGAAUAUUUAUUUGAAGUAAUGGUCAUUGACUUUGAUUAAUAGCUUAUUGAUAGCCAUGAAGCUCUCUUGCAGUUCACUCACUCUUGUCACUUUGAUCUAUAUAGGCCUAAUGGAACUUUUAUUUGUUCCUAAAUAAUCUAUAAUAUGGUACGCCAUCUCGAUACUGGUGCCACCCUGUUACUGGGUCGGUAUGCCCAGUACGGAGGCCGGUUUAGUGUACCGAGUGUCAAUAUUGCCCCAUACCACGUAUUGGUAUUGAAUCAGCACGGUACACCUCCGUACCGUUCGGUUUGGUAUGGCAUGGCAUACCUUGAUAUGUAAUUUCUCCUUCUAAAAAUUGAUUCUUUUUUUUUUCUCUAUUUUGAAAGUUGUUGCAUGUUCGAUCUUUUAAGGUCCAUAACCUAAUUAUAAUCAUCAAUGAUAUCACCAUAACCCAUUGCAUGCCAGUGAUUCAAUUUUGCUUUCAACAACACCCCGUACCGGUGCUACACUAGCACGGUGUUGGUAUGGCACGAUACAAAAUUUUUUUUGUGCAUCGAGUGUCGGUACGCUACGUGUACCGAGUACAGGUACCAAAUCAGUACGGUACACCCCGUACCAUCUGGUUCGCGCUGGUACGUACCAUGGCAGCACCUAUUAUAUUGCUUAUGUUAUAUGCACAGCAGUAAAUGGUUUUAUCUCAGGUAUGUUACCAUGAUAGAUAAAGGUUAUGUCAGGUACCAUACCAUGAUACACAAAGUUUGACCAAAGUAGCCUGAAACAGAAGUAGGUAUAGGUGUAGAUCUAGGUGCUGGAAUGAGUAAGUGGACUUUUGUAAAAUAAAAUAUCAGGAAGUGCAAACAACUAAACGCAUAUAAAAUAAAAUAUCCCCAAAUACUCUAAAGUAGCUAGGAUAUACUUAUCUGGAUACUGUAUUUUAGAGAGUACAUGCUACAUGUACUAUGCAAACGUAGAAGGCAAUCAAUACGAUAACUUGAUUCAACUGUAUAUGUAAAGGACGGAAAAUACUUGGUUAAAAACCCACUUAGAAGCAUUAAUGCAGGCAUGGUUGAGGCCAAAAUCCUAAAGCUAGCUAGGCACCCCAAGGGUAAGAUUUCUGGUUACAAAACGUUUGAUAUUUUUUGGACAGAAAUAUACCUUAAUAAAGCAACUAUCAAAUCUUAUGAAUAACCAACACAAAUGACUAUAUUUUUAUUUCAUGUCUUGAACUGAAACAAGACUACUGAAAGCCAGCACAUAAUGAGAAGGAUAUCUUCGAAGGAUCACUAAAAACUGAUUGUUUGCCUUGCAACUUUUUGUUAGUGCUGUGUGAUGCUUAGCCACCUUGGUCUUGGUUGUUUCAAGGAUAUCCUGUUCAAUUCAUCGCUAUCAAUUUUUUCGCAAGCUAGACCAUAUAAUUUUCUUUUGCUUUAAGUUUUUUGCCUUAUUGUGAUAUGUUAUAUUGCAUUUUGCUAGCCUCUUCCUAUUUAUCAAACAUGGAAACAAGAAGGGAUAAAGUGAACCCAAAAAAUUGAAAUGGAAUCCAAGCAGAAAUUUGCAAAAAUCAUCCAAUACAGGUAGCUGAGAGAAGAAUGCCAGAUAAUCAUAGUUUCAGUAUUGUAUUUUUUGUAUAUAUGACAUUAUUGAUCUCUCUACAAACUCGAGUGAAGCGAACAGUCAGCUGCAAGAAAAGGGCAUACAGGUAGCAUGUUCAAGUAGACAGGCUAAUUUAUUAUUUUUAUUGAAAUAUGCUCAUGCUUGCAAUCAUAAAAAAAAAUCAUGAGUACUUAUUUGAAAAGAUAUAGUUCCAGUUUGAAAUCCAAAAUCGAGAAAAAAAAGCUCCUCCCGAUCAUCAUUAAAAAACUUUAAGAGUGUCUUCUUAAAUUGUAUUGUCAAAAUUUAUUUGGGAUAUCUUUAUGGCUAUCUGUGUUCUCUUUCAACAUCUUGAUGGUUAAGCGAAAGAGUAUCCAACCUGUCCGUGCACUAAUAUUGGCCUUGGUAUGGAAAUUGCAAAUAUACUGAUUUUUUUUCUCUCUUUCUUUAUUGUUUCCUUAUAUUUCAUAACUUUUCAGGCAAAAGAUUAUGGAAAUGCAUUGCAGGAAAGGUCUCAGAGAUUGAACGUGACAUGUGUUUAAUGGAAUUUCUUGUGCUAAAAUCAUGCAUGCAGAACAUGGUACUCGGAGUUCAUACAUAUGCAAGUAUAUAUAAUAUUUUCCAGAUGAUGAUGCUCUCAUCUUUUAUUCUCUUGAUCGCUAUUCUAGUAACAUGAACUGUCUCUUUUGCUCUUAAAGAUUGGAAACAAGGUGUAAGGUUUUGAAAGGAUUAUAGCAAACUGUGUGAAGUUCUAUCGUCAAACUAAGAGAUCUGGAAUCAGCAUGCAGAGAUUUGGUGAAAAUGUAUGUUUGACAUUAUAUGAUUGUCUAAGGUUCUGAAGGUAUACGUAUCUGGUUUUCUUUUAUCUGUGCUACUAUUGGAUGCAGUAUUUUUUUCUAUCAUCGAUUAUUAAAGACGUAUAUUGUGAGGACCCGUGCGGGCGUGUGCUUAGUCCCACAUUGGUUAUUUGCUGGGUAGAUCUUGGAUACUUAAACAGGAUCAAGGAACCCAAAUAACACCUUUCGGCUAGCCUUUUUGAAUGAGAUCCUGGGUUGUAACAAAUGAUAUCAGAAUAAACCCAGCCCAUAACCUAUGUGAACUAAAGGACACUGCAGCACGGAUCCAUUGGGGUUGACCAUGGGCCGAUUAUGGUGUUUAUGAUUAGAUUUGAAUGGAUUUGAACCCUUAGCCUGACGAGGACGUCAGUGCUUGAACGGGAGGAGUAUGUCAGAACCUGUGUGGGCGUGUGUUUAGUCCCACAUCAGUUAUUUGCUGGGUAGAUCUUGGAUACUUAUAUAAGAUUAAGGAACCAAAAUAAUACCUUCCAGCUAGCUAUUUUGGGUGAGGUCCUAGAUUGUUACAAGUAGUAUCAAAGCGGAUCCGGCCCAUAACCUAUAUAGACUAGGAAACACUGCAACACAGAUUCAUUGAGGCUGACCACAAGUCGAUCAUAGUAUUUGUGAUUAGAUUUGAAUGGAUUUGAACCCUUAGCCUGACAAGAACGUCAGGGCUUAAACGGAAGGAGUAUGUGAGGACCCGUGUGGGCGUAUGUUUAGUCUCACAUCGGUUAUUUGCUGAGUAGAUCUUGGGUACUUAUACAGGAUCAAGAAAUCCAAAUAAUACCUUUCGGUUAGCCUUUUUGGGUAAGGUCCUGGGUUGUGACAUAUAUACUAGGCAGUCGAGUUGCAUAAUAAAGCUACAGACUGGGAAAAAAACGACAUGUUAGAGUAAGUAUCUAGUGAUCAACCAUGGGUAGCUUGUAGGUUUGUAUGGUUCAGAGGCACAAUCUCAUGUUUAUAUUCAGCUUCCACCCCUACGAUGCAGCAUUCAUGAAACACAGGGUCUCUAUUAUGAUGAUGGGAACGGAUUGAUUCUUGCCCCAACAUCUGAUCAGGUAGUGUAACACGCGUUCAAGGAACAUCAAUUGCACCCCGCUCCACGGCAUUAAUAAGGUUUUAUCAUGGAACGUUGGUCCAUCUACUCAGCUUGAUCCACCAAAAUCAGAUUCAAUCAGUGAAGCACCAAUUUUAUUUAUUUGAUAUUCUCUGGAUAAGAAGGUCAUAGGGAUCCAGCGAUCGAAUCAUGAGAUUCAGUUUAAAAAUAGGGAAACUGGUGAGAGCUUUACUCGAAGAUGCAGGCAAGGUUCUGAAAGCAUACUUGGCUUUUUCUGGACAGGCUGCUCAUCUUGUGACAUCAUAUUCAUAAAGACAAGGUACAUUCCCAAGCCUCCUGGUGUCUGAUAAGUGGCGUGUCAAACUUACAUGAAUGUAAAGAAGGCAGCAACUUUUCUUUGAAGUUAUAUUGGCUAUGAAACUUGCAUUUUUAUUCAGGGUUCUCAUACAUAUCUCAAUAUAUGUUUCAUGCAUUUCUUAUAAUCGACCUUAUAGUUAA